AGAGUCAAUCGGAUAAUUGCUCUUAGUCUCGCUUUAAGCGCUACAAAGAGAGGAAAGUCCGAGCACUGCAGGACGGGAUGCCACAUAAUUAGUGGAAUUAGUUAUACUAAUAUGGAAAGUGCAACAGAAAAUAUACCGCUUCAAUUUAUUGGAGUAAGGGUGAAAUGGCGGUGUAAGAGACCACCAGGCCUUGAUGAGAAUCAAGGUGCUUGUAAACCCCAUCCAGUGCAAGAUCAAGUAAACUCUAAGAUGUUGUCCGCAUUGUUUGAAGAGAGGGUUGAUUGCAUGAUUUAUCUAGCAAUAGUUAAACAAGAUGAAUGAUUAUCGAUUACAGAACUCGGCUUAUAGAUUGACUCUAUUA
rnacentral:RNase_P_RNA from 1 species